GAGAGGAGCAAAACCCACCAUGAAGAAGUGAAGACGAGGGAAUGGGAUCAGAUUGACCGCAAGCUUACGGAGGUCAGAGUUAAGUUGACCAGGGAAUCUCAGACAGCAUGUGACACCAGACAUUGUGGCAGAUAUCAAAUGGUUCAAAUCACCAACUACACAAAAGAGAGACAAGGAUGGAGCACAAGAAACAGUAACAAAACAAAUAUGUAACAGAGAUGAAAGCAUGAAUGCAGUGGAAAAUUUGCAAAAUAGAAAUGCUAUAAGAUAAAAUGGCCAAAUCAAGUUCACAAAGAUAAAUAGAACUCUUAACAGAUCAAAAGAUUCAGGAAGAGUAGGACAUACAGCUGGGGGUAGUGAGCUUAAGAGUCCUGAAGCAAAUAUCAUACAAGGCCUCGUUAUCAAGAACCAUGCACUCAUCAGCAUUCUCAACAAGCUGGUGAACAGACAAGGUGGCGUUGUAAGGCUCGACGACAGUGUCAGAGACCUUUGGGGAAGGAAACACUGAGAAGGUCAACAUCAUGCGAUCUGGGUACUCCUCCCUGAUCUUCGAAAUCAACAAAGUACCCAUCCCAGAUCCAGUUCCUCCUCCCAAGGAAUGGCACACCUGAAACCCUACAACAACAACCUCACAGUUCAAAAGCCAAAAGCAUAACAAGCUUGAAGAAGAAGAGUUCUACUUCUAUGUUACCUUGAAGACAGUCACAGUUCUCAGCUUCCUUACGAACAACAUCGAGGACGGAGUCAAUAAGCUCGGCGCCUUCAGUGUAAUGUCCCUUGGCCCAGUUGUUACCAGCACCAGACUGGCCGAAUACGAAGUUAUCGGGACGGAAGGUCUGACCGUAGGGUCCAGAUCUGAGACUGUCCAUGGUGCCAGGCUCCAGAUCCAUGAGCACAGCACGAGGGACGAAUCUUCCGCAGCUAGCUUCGUUGUAGUAGACGUUGAUGCGCUCGAGUUGGAGAUCUGAGUCUCCCGUGUAACGACCGGUUGGAUCUAUGCCGUGCUCCGCGCACACGACUUCCCAGAACUUGGCACCUAUCUGGUUACCGCAUUGGCCACCUUGGAUGUGAAGGAUCUCUCGCAUUUUCGCUGGGAUAGAUCUAGGUUUUCUUUAAUUAGAUAUACACCGAGCGACUGAGUGUCUGUGUGUGUGACUGAGGAGUUUUAUAUUAGACGAGUUUUUAUUUUUCUUUUUAAUAUUUCUUUUAUUAUCUUAUCGUUAUCGCCUUAUUAUUGCCUCAUAAUAAAUAUUAAAUAUAUAUAUAUAUAUAUAUAUGAGGCGCCGAUUUGCUUUUUCAAAAUUUGAAAAUAGUCUUCUUCCUUUUUUCCCUAACAAAAAAAAAAAAUAGUCCAUUUCUUUGUGGAGUCUUGUUUUUUUUUUUUUUUUUGAAGUCUUCUUAUUAUUAUUUUUUUGUUUUUUUACAAAGCAACAGAAAAAAAAACUUACAAAACCAGGUCCAAACAAAAUGAAAAAACCUAAACCCAUAACCUUAACAGAGAAUUAAAAAAUUUAGCGCUAAAAAGAUCGUAAAAAACACCGCCGAACAAAACAUUUACGUCCGCAAAAAAUACUUCCAAAUCAAGAGAUCGGAGACCAAAGCUGAAUUAAAAGCACUUUUGCUAAAAAACUAAACAAUUGAAACUAAACUAAGCGAGACAAAAAGAAAAUCAUCUGCCGCAGUAAACGAAAAAGUAGAUAACCAUAUCUAAAAAACAAAAAGAAGAGGAGCGCACAUAGCUGGAACAAGUAGAUUUGUUGGCUUAGCUGGUUCAGAUCAGUGGAUGGAUCGACCUAAGUCGCAUCCUCAACCGACUCGCUUCCACCUUCACCACCAUCGGAGAGACACAAGCAGAAGCUCUGCUCGCUAUCCUCGCAGUAAGCUGCAAGCACCACCGUGAACCCAACAACACAAACAUGAAACAAACCGACCCACUAUGUUGCAUUUCAACACCAAGAAGCCACCACCGACAUGUCGCUAGCUGGGUGACACCUAACCACCAUGAAUUACAGAGGGAAGCCGAGGAAAGCUUGGGGUAACACCAUUAUGAUCUAACCAACAUAUCAGAGUCGUGAAGCGUGAACUACAACAUCGCCGUAAAUCAUUGUAACACCCAACACCACCAUAGAUCUCAAACGCUAGUGGGUAGAGUAGUAGGAAAACAAAAACGAAAAAGCCCUCUCACAACCACUAGAGAAACACCGAUGGAUGGAGAGAUAAAGCGAGAAUCGAUGGUUUGUUUACAAGAAAGAGAAUGUGUUAUUUUAGUCCUAUUAAAAUUUGUUGUCUUUGUGGAGUGUUGUUGUCACUUGUAACUAGGUUUACUUGUAACCUCCAAUUUCAAAAUUAUUUAUUUCUCGAAUAUCACUUCCAAUACAAUAAAAUUUAAUCAAACAAAACCAAAUAAAAUAUAGCUUGAAAUUAGUAAUAUAUGUAUUGUAUAAAUAUGUUUUUAUGGGUAAUAUUAGUUUUUAAAAAAACAGCAUAUGAAUAUAAUUUGUUUAUAAAUUGAUUAAACCAAAAAAUUAAAAAUAUGAUUAAUUUAAAAUAUAUUUGCAUAAUUUAUUAACCUAUAUAAUAUGACUCAUAUAAUAUAAAUAAAAAUUACUUUAUUAAUCUAAGUUUGAUAUUUGAAACUUUAAUUUUAAUAAUAUAUUAUUUUGUUUUAAUUUAAAAGUUAUUUUCAUUAAAUAAAAUAAAUAUCUUUUAUUUUUGUCAACAGUUGUUUGUGCUAAAUACUAGUUACUUAAUAUUAUUAUAAUUUAUCAACUUAUUUUUUUUUUAUAGAAAUUAUCAUGAUUUGUAAUUACUUUUAUUUUAAUUUUUCUAAUUAUUUUUAUCUUGAUAGUACAAUAAAAUAAAAAUAAACAUUCUAUUUAAAAGUUAGAGAAAAUUUCUAUGAUAGCGGUUUUUAGUUGAUUUCACAAAAAUAGCUAUCAAAGAAGAAAAUGACAAAAAAGUUUUAUUAAAGGGUAAAUAUAUAUUUAUUACUUUAGGGUUACCUAAUACAGACUUAGUGUUUAGAGUUAAGAAGUGGGGUUUCGAUGGUGGAGUUUCAUAAUUUUCAAAUAAAAAAUAAAUAUUAAAAAAUUUUAAAAGAAAAUUAGGGUUAUUUUGGUGACAAAAACUUUUAAAAAAAAUCUAUUUGAGAAAAUUGCCGUAAAAGUUAUGAUACUGAAAAUAAAAUGUUCUAAUAAGUCAAAUGUUCUAAUCAUAUAAGCUAAAAUUCAAAAAUGUUAUAUAUAUAGUUAGUUUUUGUAUAAAAUUUAAUAAACUAAAACUGAAAGUAUAUAAACCAAAAUAAAUCAAAAUAAAUAUGUUUUAAUUAUAUGACUAAUUUUUUGAUAAUUUUUUUAUGAAUUGAAAUAGUGAAAAAAACGAACUAAAACGACACAAAAAUUCAAAUUGAUCACUUCUAGUUGUUCUCCUUGUAGCAAUUAAACUAUUUUUGUCAGGAUACUGAAAACCGCAAAUCGUUAUAAAUAUAUAUUUUUUUAUAAAUUUGUAGUUUCUGCACAUAUUUUUGACCCAUAUAUGAAAAGUAGAAAAAUAAUAAUGGAGGACCACAUGAUUUAUUCUUUUUUACAGAGGAGGAUAACAUGCUGGGUCAGACGAAAUUCACUUUGCUCAGAACUCAUUUGUUAAAUAAUAGUUCUUGACAAUAUAAAAAAAUUAGAAAUAGUGUGGGGUGCUAUUAUUGAUGGUUUUUCGUGACACUUGUCGAAAUUACCAUUUAGGGUCUAAAUGGUAACCGCAAUUUGAUAUUAUAAACGGUACUGAGUGAAAAUACGAUAUGAUCCAAUUUUUCGAUUCUAGAAGUUUAGAAUCUGCUCAUGUUGAUCAAAAAAAAAGAAUUUGUUCAUGUAUUUAGAAAAUUCAGUUUGGUUUCAGUUCAAUUAUUUUGUUUUUCGGUUUGGUUUGAGUAACAAAGUUGGAAACCGACUAAUAUCUGAGGUAAGUUUGGAUACCAUUUGGUUCCGAUUCGGUUCGGGUUUUCGGUUAAUUUGGGUUGAAUUGUCAAAAACUUUGGACUUUUUGGAUUAAAUAUCUUAGUUUUAUGGGUUUUCGAAUAAUUUUAAUUAUUUCAGAUGAAAAUUAUUUUGGUAAUUCAAUUUUUAGGUAUUUCAGUUUAGAAAAAAUAUUUUUAAAAUUAUUUGAUUAUUUUAAAACUAAAUAAAAUUAAUAUUUAUAAGUUUAUAAACUAUAUUAUAAAAUUUUAGUUUUGGUUUUUUGGUUCUAUAGAUAUAAGGUCCGCUCAAAUAAAUGACAGGAUUCAAACCAAAUUAAAUUCUGGUUUUUUGUUUGGUUUUCGGAUAAAUAUGUCCAUAUCUACUUUUGACUGUAAAUGAAAACAUAUUCUCGCAAAGCCUCUCCCUCAGUCUAUGACUUUGCUCAACUUGUUCCCGCCUCAUUGAGUCAAUGCUUGUGUUAACCUGCUCUCCCUCUACAUCUUUAGAACCUCAAGACUCUCACCCUUGCAUGUAGUCUUUUCCUAAAUUAAACCUUUUGGAUCGUAUCAUUAUCCUUCUUGGAGGUCAUGCAGCUGAAGAAGUCGUAUAUUGGGGAGUGUAUCAACAAGUGCAAUUGACGAUAUCAGGCGGGGAACUAAAAUGUCAUACAAAGCAGUAUGUCACGGACUGAUUCUUCAGGACGUGCAGCCUUAGCGCCUGUUCACCCUUGUGAUUGCUAAGUCAGCCUUUUGGACAACUCGAUCAGUACUUAGAGAGAGAGAGUGACGUUUUUAGAGAGAGGUCAGAGCUUUUUAACUUGUUUUCUUAUUAAGUUCUGAAUGAAAUACAAGUGAGGAUCUCAGCCUCUAUUUAUACACAACAACCUCCUCAAUGGACGGCUCAGAUUAAACCGAUCUAACAAUCCAGAUCUUUUCCCUCCUUUGAAGUAACUUCACCAUGAAGUACUUUACCCUUAAGCUACUUAUCCUUUAAGUAUUUUACAUCCUUCCACAUACUUCUUAAUAAUAUUUUAUACUUAGAUAUUUUACAAAAGCUUAAGACUUAAGAAAAUUCUAAGUAAGGUCGGUUUAAAACCUUGCGGUCCCGACCCGUUCUUGCUUCAAAAAGUUGGGGCGUUACAUCCUCCCCCAGACGCCCUCGUCGCCGUAUAUGCCUUCAGUGCAUCCCGGAGUUGCCACAAGUCCUCUUCCGGUUCCCAUGUUGCUUCUGCCUCUGGCAGUCCCUUCUAUUUGAUGAGAAAAUGGGUCUGUCUCGGGACUCCUUGCUUCAUCACUUCCUUGGACGCCAUCACCUCUUCGACUCUUUGUCAUAAGACUUAGUCACCACAGCUGGUGCUCGAGUCGAAACUCCUCGGGUUUGGUCAUCCUCAUCAUCAUGGUACGGCUUCAGCAUGCUCACAUGAAAGACUGGAUGGAUCUUAAGUGUAUCCGGUAGGUCAAGUCGGUGGGCGACCUUGUUCUGGUGAAGCUACUUCCUCAACAGUUCAAGGCAUUCCGGAGCCUACACAAAGGCUUGAUCCGGAGGUAUGAAGGGCCAUUCGAGAUAGUUGGGAAGGUGGGAAAUGUUUCCCACUCUGACCUCUCUCUAAAAACAUCACUCUCUCUCUCUCUCUCUCUCUCUCUCUCUCUCUCUCUCUCUCUCUCUCUCUCUCUCUCUCUCUCUCUCUCUCUCUCUCUCUCUCUCUCUCUCUCUAAGUACUGAUCGAGCUGUCCGAAAGGCUGACUUAGCGAUCACAAGGGUGAAAAGGCGCUAAGACCACACGUCUUGAAGAAGCAGUCUGUGACAGUUGGUAUCAGAGCUUUUUAACUUGUUUUCUUAUUAAGUUCUGAAUGAAAUACAAGUGAGGAUCUCAGCCUCUAUUUAUACACAACAACCUCCUCAAUGGACGGCUGAGAUUAAACCGAUCUAACGGUCCAGAUCUUUUCCCUCCUUUGAAGCAACUUCACCAUGAAGUACUUUACCCUUAAACUACUUAUCCUUUAAGCAUUAUACAUCCUUCCACAUACUUCUUAAUAAUAUUUUAUACUUAGAUAUUUUACAAAAGCUUAGGACUUAAGAAAAUUCUAAGUAAGGUCGGUUUAAAACCUUGCGGUCCCAACCCGUUCUUGCUUAAAAAAGUUGGGGCGUUACAAGUAGCUCUAUUUAAUCUCAGCCAGAAAUGGAGCCUUGUCAAAACUUUCUGGUUGUGGGAAUGACGAAACAAGAAGCUCACCAUGGAGAAGUGAUGCAGAGAGAUAUUUGGAUAUAUUCCAAACAUUAUUAUUAUCUAGUUUAUUAUUUAUUUAAGUAUUUAUUUUAAUUAGUGGAAAUUAUCUUAAAGUUUUUAAUAGUUUUAAACUUAUCUGGUUCUUAUAUAACUAGAUUUAUUUUCUUCCUUCAAGAUUCUAACAUAUACCAAGAGCAACUAAUCUAGUGGCAGACAAAGCUUGCACGAGGUGCUCGGAGUUCCCCUUCAGUUGUGUUCUAUGUUGAUUCUAUCCCACCGGCUUGGCUUUCCGAGUCGGUAGGGCCUUUAUCUUAGUUUAGUUAUUAUUGUUGUCAAAAAAAAUUUUUUAAAAAAAAUUAUAUAUAUAUAUUUAGGUUUCUUAUGUCAUGAAUGUUUUCAAUAAAUUAAAAAAAGACAUUGAUCUUUUGUAUUUUUAGACUAAAUAAAAUCUUUAUAAUAUUCUAAUUUUUUGGAUAUUUUCAGAAUCAACGGAUCCAGGUUAUUAAAGAAAUCAGGUAACGUCAUUUUAUGCUGUACUUAGCUGGGUUUCUAUGGUGUCUCUUGAAUUAAGGCAAUUAUUAGUAACCUACAAGUCAACAUAGGGAAACUAAUUGAUCUUGUUGAACGCGAAGUGACAGAUCUGUUACAACCUGCUCUUGCUGUUGCACUGUGUGUUUUACGAACUAAUCUUAGAUGUAUUGGAAGCGCUUGGUGCUCAACAUGAAGGCAGUCCGUUACCAGAUAGUAUAAGUUUAUUUACUUUCAUCCCUAAAGUGUAAGACACUGAAUAAGAUAUCAUCCCAAAAAGCUUGGCUUGAGUUUGGUUGAUCUGCUAACUUGCUCACUGAUAAAGUAGAAGAGAAGAUUUGAAGAAACGGUUAAGUAUGGUGAUCGCACCUGAAGAACUCGUAGUCUUUGUCAAAGUAAAGCAAGAGGCUUUGUUCCCGGCAAGAGCUAGCUCCUGUUAACAGCUACAAUGAUCUCGUAAUUAUAACCAUUGCCAAUGCAUAUCAAGAAUGGUUCCAGCAUGCAAGCAACACUUGAAUCGACAUCUAAAGAACUAUUUUGGAAUACAUUCCGUUGAUAGCUUGUCGAUAAGAUGAAGAAAGGAGCAGUUUAUAUAUAUAACUGAAAUCUGAAGAAUGUAUAGAGAAUAAACAACACAGAAGCAAAUAGAUAAUGCAGAUUUACAUUCAUUUUUUGUUGAAGAGGCCAGCUAAGCCGCCGAGCCCACCACCAUCGUUCUUCUUUGGCGCCACAGGCACCGGAGCAGCGCUUUUACCACCGCCGCGAAAGGUUCCUCUGCCUCCAGUGGUGCCUUGUUCCUUCUCCACCUUCUUGAGGAUUGGAUCAGUCUCGUAGAACUGAUCUUGCUUUGUCAAAUAGCCCAGCACAAAGUCGAGGGGACUCUUCUCCUCCUUGGCGCCGCCUGAAGCUCCUUUUGCGGUUGUGGCGUAAACCCUCACGGUGGCCGGAGCAAACGACAUAAGAAGCGAAGAAACCAUUCUUGUUAUCUCCUUACGAUCUCUCUUUCUCGGGAUUGUGUCUGUGUAAAUGUAUAUGUCUUCGUGUGGCUCAAAGGGAUUAUAAUGAGGUUUGGUGAAUCUGAGCCGUCGGAUCUUUUUGGCACAAGCUCUCCACAGGUGUCUUAUCUUCUUUCCCCUUUCUCUUCACAUAUUUUUCUUGGAUCGAUGCAGUUCUAUGUUUUAUUUAUCAAAAAAGGAGACUUUUUUUUUUUGAAAUACGGUAGGAUAGGCACAAAUAUAGACUUUAUUAAUCAAAAUAACCAAAAUGUUUCAUUAAAUAGGUAAAUAUACACUUAUACACUAAUUUAAACUUUAGGUUUAAAGUUAAGGGAUAGAGAUUUGAAAUUGAGAUUGGGAUUUAAAAUUUUGUAAAAUAAAAAAUAAAUAUUAAAAAUUUUAAAAUAAAAAUUUUAAAAAUAAUUUCAAAAAGUACUUUCGACUUACAAAAAGAAAUUUUGAAAAAAAAAAACAAUUUCGAAAAGAAAAAAUAUUUUUUUUAUAAAAAAGUUUGAAUUUGAAAACAUAUAAUCUAAAACUAUAAAAAAAAUUAUUCUUUUUUUUAAUUUUUGAAUUUUUUUUUUACUUUUCUAAUUUUUUUUUAUAUAUAUAUAUAUAUAUAUAUCUAAUGUAGUAGAGUCCUUUUACCUAUUAAAUGAAACAUUUUGGUCAUUUUCCUCAUUGUGAUCUAUUUUUGUGAUCAAAAUUUAAAAAUGGUAUAUUUAGGAGAAUUGCCUUUUUUGUUGGUUUAAUACGGAGCAUCUUAGAAAAUAGAGUGCAUCCAAAAUAAAAUUGGGUUUUAUUUCAUAAAUAGAUAUUAUUUUAGAGUAAAAUUAGAAAAUAAAUAACUACAGAUAGUGAAUAUAGUUACUUAUUUUUAAAAUAAAUAACUUUUACUCUUAAAAGGUGAAAUUUAAAAUUUCUUUUAAAACAAUAUCUUUACAUAUUAAAGCAGAAGUCGUAACUUUUUCAUGUGUGAUUUUGCUAAGUUGAGUCAUUUCUUAAAUGCUUUAUUAAAUGUAUAUUAAUAUUAUGAAAAUUUGUCAAAAUGACUCAAAACUUGAUUUAAAUGUAAAAGUAUACCUAAAAUUCAAUCAAAUUCAAAAUAACCUAUAAUAGUGAAAUUACAACUAGCUCUAGUAAACAAAUUUAUAAAUAUAACCUUAUGAAGUCUUUUUUUAGUUAAUGAUGUCUUCUAUGACUUCUUCUCCUAAACUUAAUCUUAGAAUUAAUUUAUAAAUUUUAUAAAAAGUAUUUUGAUAAAAAAUAAAUUGAAAGCAUGUAACUAUAAAUGGUUAAAAAUGAUGUAAAUUUAGAUUUAAUAAAAUGGAACUGUUUUCAACACAGAUGAAUGAAUAUAGAUUGUAAGUCAUGGUUAUUAUUGGUUUAAGAUUUGGUAACAUAUUUUCAAGUAUUGUUUAUAUUUUAGGGUUAGAUUAUUUUAGGGUAGAUUUAGAAUCCUAAAAUAACUUGAAAUUUAGACAUAUAUGUUUUUAAUUUUGUAUAUAUCAAAUACUUUAUAUAUUAAUUUUAUGUCUAAUGAAGUGUUUGUUGCUAUUUAGUUAAUUAUAUAAUUUUAGGAUUUAGGAUUCCUUGAGAAGUCUUUUAGUGCGUUUUAUGUUAAAUUAAACCAAAUUUUAUAUUUUUACCUUCAAUUUUAACAUAAAGAACUUAAAACAAAUUGAAUUUAACCAAAGAAGAUCAGUUACCGGACAUAUAAAUAGAUUUUUUCACUUUUUACCGGUAAAAAACUAAAGAAGCCCUAGCAUUUUCUCUCCACAGGCGAUUUAAAAGGCGAUUUUGGUGAAACAAGGCGAUUUUGAAACCUUUUUUUUAUUUGUCGUCUUCACCUUUGGUAAUCGUUUUUCCUUUGUGACCGAAGAGUAUUUUAGUAUCUUGAACUAACCCACUUACUUUUUUCAGAUCUGAAAGCUAAACGUUGUCAUUGGUGUCCGCCGCUGGUAAGUUCUUCAUCUUUCAUGUCGAUUUAUCAGGGUUUAAGUUUAGGCGACCCAUACAGCCACUAUUGAACCCUAAACGUUGUUGUUUAUAUUAUAUCCAUUCAAUUUUGUAGAUCUAUCACUAUUGAUGUUGUCUGUGGACCAUAACUCAUUUGUUUCCGACCAUAACUCCUCCACUUUCGACUAUAAGUUCUGGAUUUUGUUUGAUUUAUUUGGGGUUUUCUUUAGAUCUCUAACCGUUCUAUUUAUUAGAUUUUCUCUUCAUCUUACUCUAUUAAAAGAGGAAUAUAAGCUCCAUUGAGCCUAUCCACCUCAACAAAUUAAAUCAGCCAAUGAAAUAUGAUUUUUUUGCCAUGUCACUAUUUAUUGAAUCCUAUAAAAGACUUCAUCUUCAUUGUUCUUAUUGAAGUCUCUGAAAUUGCCGGUAUCCUACAUUUAAGAACCUCCAUUUUUUUAAACUUAAUUCCCUUCGUUGAUCCUUGCAAGAUGAGAGACGAUGACGUUUCAACUUCUGUUGUUUCUCUCUUUAUAACUCUUUCGCUGAAUCUUAGCCAAAUGUAUCACUUUUUAUAAUUUGGAAUCCUGCUAAAUUUUAGAUGUAAUAUUUAGUUUACAAAACAAAAUAAAAUAACCAUACACUACAUUCUCAUCUUUAUUGUGUUAAUCAUGUUAUUCUUUUUUGGUUUCGUAUGAUGAAAACCUAUUUUACAACACAUAAUCCAUGAUACAUUUGAGAAGCUAAAAAUAAAAACUUAAGCCUUUUUCAAAAAUAAAAAAUAAAAAUAGAAAACUCUAUACUACAAAAUAUAUGCAAAACAUAGUAAAAAACAUUCGGUUUAAAUGUGUCAGACAAGAAUAUAUUCUAAAUUUACACUGUUAAAAGGGGAAUAUAAGCUCCAUUGAGCCUAUCCACCUCAGCAAAUUAAAUCAUCCAAAGAAAUAUGAUUUUUUUGCCAUGUCACUAUUUAUUGACAUGAUUUUUUUGCAAUGUCACUAUUUAUUGAAUCCAAUAAAACACUUAAUCUUCAUUGUUCUUAUUGAAGUCUCUGAAAUUGCCGUUAUCCUAUAUUUAAGAACCUCCAUUUUUAAAAACUUAAUUCCCUUCGUUGAUCCUUCCAAGAUGAGAGACAAUGACGUUUCAACUUCCGUUGUUUCUCUCUUUAUAACUUUUUCGCUGAAUCUUAGUCAAAUGUAUCAUUUCUUAUAAUUUGGAAUCCUGCUAAUUUUAGAUGUAAUAUUUAGUUUACAAAACAAAAUAAAAUAACCAUACACUACAUUCUCAUCUUUAUUGUGUUAAUCAUGUUAUUCUUUUUUGGUUUCGUAUGAUGGAAACCUAUUUUACAACACAUAAUCCAUGAUACAUGUGAGAAGCUAAAACUAAAAACUUAAGCCUUUUUCAAAAAUAAAAAAUAAAAAUAGAAAACUAUGUACUACAAAAUAUAUGCAGAACAUAGUAAAAAAAAAUUCGGUUUAAAUGUGUCAGACAAGAAUAUAUUCUAAAUAUACACUAAAUACAAUCUAUAAUGCAAAAAUAUACAUAAAAAAAUGACAAGUUUUACCAAAUUAUACCAUAUCAUUCGCAUGUAAAUGUCCACGUAGUAUAUGGAAUAAUAUGUUCAAAUAAUAAAAAUUGUCAGAUCACAAUGGUCCAAAUAACAAACCACUAUUUAAAAGGAAUAGAUAAAUAUGCAAAGUUAUAAGUUUUAAAAUUACAAGUAACGCGUAAAAUUGUAGGACAAAACAAUUGAGUCCAAUAAAUAAAAUUACAUAAAGUUAACGAAUUUUUAAAAAUAAAUGCAAAAACAAUACAAAAUAUAAACCACGCGUAGCACGCUUAAAGAAUCUAGUAUCUGUAGUAGGUGUUAUUAAUCUUACACAAUUUUAAGUUAUGUAACUGUUCUAUUUUUAGGGUUCACUGGAAAACUUCUUAGAAGAAUUCUUACGAAGUUUUCCAUGAAGUUACUAGGAUUCUCUUGUUUUGUUCCUUUGUAUUUUGAGAUGUUAAUUUUUCAUUAUUUUCAGACCGAAAAAUGGAUUUACCAGAACUCCCGAAGAGGAUAUUUACCAUAAGUGGAAAGCCCUUAACCAAAAGCAUUGUGUAUUCUACUGAUGAGACGAAGUUGCCUUCUUCUAUAAAAGCGGUUCUACAUAAUGAUGAAUGAGAGGAGCUCAAGCACUCAAGGUUGGGAGUGUUCAUCAAGUUCAAGGAGCUAAAGUUUGGUUGGGCAUCAAGGCUGGUUCAUUUUAUGCUAUGUUUCCAGCUUGACAUCAAGAAGAAGUAUGAAAUUUGGAGUCUCAUUGGUCCACAACCAUUGAUUUUUUCACUGAUAGAGUUUUUCACUGCGAAUAUUUAGGAAGAUUCAUUACUAACUACGUUCAUUACCUUAGCUUAAUAAAGAUUUCCAUUUAUCCUUGAAUAGAAAGAAUCACCUGACCUGGAACCCAUAACCUGGAAACCGGAACCCGGAAGUUGGAACCUUGAAACUGGAACCCGGAAGUUGGAACCCGAAACCAAGAGAUCGUGUCCUUCUCUAACUCAGAGGUUCUCGUUCUUAGAUUAAUUUUUGGAAAAAUGAUUGCUGGCUACGUGAAGUAUUGACCUAACUACACGAAGUAUAUGAAAUGCAUGGCAAUAUACCUCAAGUUAAUGAUGUUAUGUAGUUAACAUCACGUGCACAAUUUCAUUAAUCCUAAAAUUGAUGUAGAUGUUGGAAUUGACUAAAUCGAGAGAGAGGAGUUAAUGAAUCCUGAAAUCGAUUAACUCCCCCCUCUCUCGAUUUUGGUCAAUAACCCCAACACUAUUUCACCAACUUCAUUUCUCUCUCACCGAUUUGAAUCAAAACCCUAAUUUCUUAGAUUUUUUUCUCUUUAGUCGCGGCAGAGAGACGACGUCCCCGAAAUUUAAUUUUUUUUGGGUCAAUAUUAAAUUUGUGUGGUCAAAUUUAAUUUUGUUUUAUUGGGAUGGGUUGGGUAAAACUUUAGUUAAAAUAUGGUCGGGUGGGUUAAAUUUUAAUUGAUCGAUGGGAGAAUUAAACAUAGUUAACGUCUCCGAUGUCCAUGUCUCUUUUUGGAUUAAUGAAAUUAAGCUCGUGAUAUUAAUAAUGUAACAUCAUUAAGUUGAAGGAAUGUUGUCAUGAAUAACAUAUACUUCGUGCAUUUAAGUAUACAUUAGUUCAGUCUACAUAGCUAGCCAUCUGGUGGUCAAUAUUUCACGUAGUCAGCAAUCAUUUUUUUAAAAAGUUUUUUUAACAAAUAGGAAAAAAGGCACGUAGUGAAAGAAGUCACUCAACUUUCUUUAAAAAUAUUUUAGCAGAGAAAUGGUUUAAGAUUUGUCGCUCUCUUUCCACUUUUUCUUGUUUUUGUUUUAGUUAUUUUAUUGUUGACAAUCCUAGUGAUCUUAUCAAACUAUUUACAUUGUUGUCACAAAUACAAGAAUGUGUAUUUUCCCAUACUUAUUUUUUACAAUUGAAAAAGAUGCAUAACUGAUAAGAGUUGGAGAGUCGACUAUAGAAGGAGGAAAAGGAGUAACGAGAUCAAAGGAGCUGCGGAUCAGCUGGUAUAGUGAUAUGAGUAUCUUGAUAAGAAGAUCUACGUAUCUUGAUAAGAAGAUGUGGCUAUAACAGAAUCGGUUAUGGCCGUUACGAAGUGUAGAGUGAAGUAUCGAGUAUAAAGAUUGUGUUGAGUCAUUUGUAAACUUUGGCCAUUUGGUGAGUUGUAAUUGGGAAUCUCUUAUGAGAUUUAGGCUUAGUACUUGUAUUGAGUAUUGAGAGGAUAAUAAAGAAAGUAUUUUCACGUUAUACAGAGUAAUGUUCUUUAUCAUUUGGUGCGGUGAGCAACUUCGAGAUACGUGACGAGAGUCCAGAACGGCGAUGAAGUUGACAACGAGAAGCGGAGCAGUCGAUGAGUCGCUGCAACGAAUCGGCAUAUUGGACAACUCCAUCGCUGAUCUGAACCGACGAUUCAACGAUCUGGAUGAGAAAUUCAACAGAAUUGCGGCAACGAGUCAGAUCAACACAGAUUCCCUUACGGCAACGGUGAAGAAUGCCGAAUCGAAGAUCGAUCCUUGGAAUCAACGAUUAAUUCAUUCAUCGCAUCAUUAAAUCCAAGAACGCUUCAAGGCGAAUCGAACAGAGAUCAGCAACCUCAACCGAUAUCUCAAGAUACAAAUCAGGUACUUCAUUCUUCAUUGGAACGAAAUCGGAAUGAUGUUGAGCUAGGUUAUCGGUGUAACGCUCAUACAUUUAAGGGUAGAGAAGGCAGAUAUAAGAAAGUUGAAAUGCCAUUGUUUGCUGCUGAACAUCCGUUUGAUUGGAUUGUGCAAGCAGAAAGAUAUUUUGAGUUACGGUAAGCGAUCCAGAACGGAAGAUGGAAUUGGUUUCGCUGAGCCUCACGGAAGACACUCUUAGCUGAUUCAACUAUGAGCACGAGUACAGACCUUUUACGGAUUGGUCUGAGUUCAAACGACGAUUGCUGGCACGGUUUACAGAAUCAUUUGAGCAAACGCCGGGGAAGAGGUUGUUUAGUUUACAAGCAAUCUGGUUCAGCUUCAGAGUAUGUCAGAGAGUUUCAGGAGCUAGCUCAUCAGGUUAAAUUGGCGGAAGAAAAUUUGAUCGACAUCUUCUUUAAUGGCCUCAAACAUGAGUUAAAAGAGGUGAUCAAGAUGAAGGAACCGAAAAAAUUACCGGAUCAUAUUGAGGCAGUGAUGAAGAUGGAGGAUAACGAGUUUUGCAAAAUGUUUGCAUUACUUAAAGAACAAAAGAACAAGACGGGGAAACAGUCCACAAAACCAUCUCCGCGCCAUUGUUCUCAAUAUUGGAAACCGAAGCAACAGACUUUUGAUUAAGGACAAAAGCAUGAGGAUAAACAAGGUCAGACGAAGAUGGUAGAGAAGCAACAACACCAACUAAAACUUUCUGAUGCGGAGUAUGAUUACAAGAAGAAGAAUGGUCUCUGCUACAAGUGUCCGGGACGAUGGUCCAAAGCUCACAUUUGCAAAAACAAGUCGUUGCAAGUGAUGGUUGUGAGUCAUGGCUACGAUAUGGAGUUGGUAGACGAAGAAUUUUUUGACACAUGCGAGGGAGAUGAGAGAACAGAAGUAAUGGAGUUAUCUUUGUUUUUAUUCUUUGGUUGGUCUUCUCCAACAACAACAAAGAUAAAAGGCAGGAUUGGGAAAACAAGUGUAGUGGUUUUGAUUGACAGUGGGGCCAUACACAACUUUAUAUCACCUGAAGUAGUGAAGAAAUCUCGGUUACAAACUACAAUGGGAAGUAAGUUUACAGUGAUGGUGGGUAUAUGAAUAUCAGUACACGGUUCUGACAUCUGCAAGAUAGUGGAACUACAAUUAUAGUCAGUUCUAGUGACAACUAACUUCAUUGUACUGGAACCGGGUAGUGCAUAUGUGAUAUUGGGCGUUCAGUGGCUGCGUACUUUGGGCAGAUGCGAAGUUGAUUGGCAAAAUCAAGAGCUAUCCUUCAUGACAAAAACAUGCAGAGUUACACUACAAGGAGACGUUUUGUCAGAUAACUUGAUUAAUGGUCAAUCAGUGGAGUGUUCGGGUAUUGAUUGGGAUGGUUCUACAGUUAUUAUGUUACUGAAUCAGCGUCAGUAACACCGCCGAGAAUCACGGAAUUGUUGAGUGAGUAUGAGACAGUGUUCGCAGAACCUACAUAAUUGCCACCAAACCGAGGAUUUGAGCAUGCCAUACGAUUUGGGAAGGGACUAAACCAACCUCAGUAAGGCCUUAUCGUUACCCUCAUUCUCAUAUGGAGACAAUAGAGAAGAUGGUCAAGCAAAUGUUGGAGGCAGGAGUUAUAAGAAACAGCAGAAGUCCUUACUCUAGUUCGGUGUUACUUGUAAAGAAAAGAGAUGGGGGAUGGAGAUUUUACAUGGAUUAUAGAGCAGUUAACAAGGCUACGGUACCAGACAAGUUUCCGAUACCAGUCAUUGACCAACUGCUCGAUGAAUUGCAUGGUGCAGUGAUCUUCUCCAAGCUCGACUUACGCUCUGGAUAUCAUCAGAUCAAAAUGGUUGAAGCUGAUAUUGAGAAAACAACAUUCAAGACUCAUGAAAGACAAUACAAAUUCGUCGUGAUGCCUUUUGGAUUGAGCAAUGCACCUGCUACUUUCCAAGCACUCAUGAAUGAAAUAUUCAAACCUUUCCUUCGCAAGUUUGUCUUGGUCUUCUUUGAUGAUAUCCUGGUGUACAGCCGAUCAGUGGAAGAACAUAACUCACAUCUCGCAGCGGUUUUACAGAAAUUAAGGCAACAUCAGUUGUUUGCCAAUAGAAAAAAAUGCUCCUUUGUCCAAGAACAAGUUGACUAUCUCCGGCACAUUAUCUCAGCUGCGGGCAUGGCUAUCGAUCCUAGUAAAACUGCUGCAAUGAAAAAUUGGCCAAUUCCAAGAACAGAAAGAGUUGAGAAGCUUCUUGGGUUUGACAGGAUACUACAUAAACUAUGUGAAAGGCUAUGGCGUGUUGGUGAGACAUUUUACUGAUCUGUUGAAAGCGGAGAGUUAUGAGUGGUCGAGCAAAGAAUAACAGACAUUUGAGAGGCUCAAGCAGGCAAUGAUCACAGCGCCAGUUUUGUCAUGACCAGACUUCAACGCUCCUUUUGUAGUAGAAACUGACGCCUCGGGGUAUGGGUUAGGUGCGGUUCUAAUGCAAAAUAAGAAACCUAUUGCAUACUUCAGUAAAGGGUUGUCAGACAGGGAACAGUUGAAGCCUAUCUAUGAACGAGAAUUAAUGGCUAUAGUCAUGGCAGUGCAGAAGUGGAAGCACUACUUGAUGGGAAAGAAAUUUACCAUUCAUACGGAUCAGAAGAGUCUCAAAUUCUUGCUGGAGCAAAGAGACAUUUCAUUAGACUACCAAAAGUGGCUAACGAAACGCUUAGGCUAUGAUUUUGAGAUUCUUUACAAGGCCGGGGUGGAGAAUAAGGUUGCAGAUGGAUUAUCUAGGGUGAUGAUAGACAGACAGGUUAACACUGAAGGUCUGUUAUGUGCUUUAACGGUGUCAUCUUCUAUCCAGAUGCAGCAGAUGUUUGAUGAACUUGAUGCUGAUGAGAAGAUCAACAACUUGAUCAAAGACGUGAUGAUGGGAAAGCCUGAGAAAAUGGGGUACUCAGUGGUGUCUGGUAGAUUGUUGUAUAAGAACCGUCUGGUACUACCACGAGAGAGCAGAUAUUGAAGGAAUAUCAUGACGGGAUUUUAGGAGGUCAUUCAGGCAUUUUGAAGACUAUCAAACGGAUCCAACAACUAUUCUAUUGGUCCAAAAUGAAAGACGAUGUGAAAAAGCAUGUUGCGGAGUGCAACAUUUUCCAAACUCACAAGUACUCCACGUUGAAUCAAGCUGGUUUACUACAGUCGAUUCCAUUACCGUCUUCAAUUUGGUCUGAAAUCUCAAUAGAUUUUAUUGAAGGCCUUCCUAAAUCUAAGAGUGCAACGUGAUACUGGUGGUGGUAGAUUGACUGAGCAAGUACGCACACUUCUUAAGUCUUAGACACCCUUUCACAGCUACAACAAUUGCGGAAAAUUUUGUCAAAGAGAUAGUGAGGCUUCAUGGCUACCCCUCUUUGAUUAUCUCUGACAGAGAUAGGAUCUUCUUGAGCAAAUUCUGGCGCGAGUGCUUCAAAUUAGUUGGAACAAAAUUGAAGUUUAGUACAGCUUACCACCCGCAGAGUGAUGGCCAGACAGAGGUGAUCAAUAGAUGCCUUGAAUCAUAUUUGCGAUGCUUCACAUCGGCUCAUCCCAAGCUUUGGCAUAAGUAUCUGUCAUGGGUUGAGUUUUGGUAUAAUUCUACAUACCAUACAUCAUUGCAAACGACCCCAUUUAAGAUGGUUUAUUGCAGAGACGCUGAAGACCAGGGUUCUACGGGUAACAAUGAGUUGGAAGAGAUGUUGAAGACCAGGGAUUCGAUUCUCAUGGAUGCACAAGCUCAUCUAUUAAGAGCUCAGGAACAGAUGAAGAACAAUGCUGAUAAAAAACGUCGUGAUUUGGUCCUUGAGGUUGGUUCUUUGGUGUACCUCAAACUGAGACCCUAUCGGCAAUCAUCCUUGACCAAGACUUUCUGUCAGAAGCUUGCAGCAAAAUACUAUGGGCCAUUUCCGGUGUUGGAGCGAGUAGGUGAAGUGGCUUAUAGGCUACAACUUCCUUCAGAAAGUAGAAUCCAUUAUGUCUUUCAUGUUUCCUAGUUGAAACUGGUUUUGGGGAAGGAGCAUGAAGUUUCACCAUUACCGGUAAUUCUGGAGGAGUCGGAGGAGUUUGUCUUAAAGCCAGAACAUAUACAGAUCACUCGUUAUGAUGCUGAAGGUCAUCUUGAGGCUCUGGUUCAUUGGAAGGGCUUGCCUGACCAUGAGGAUGCAUGGCUUCGGGUGAAAGACAUUGCUCGAGAGUACCCAUCC
rnacentral:lncRNA from 1 species